rnacentral:rRNA from 1 species
AUGCUGGACCCGCCGCUUGAGCUCGUGCUGGGGUCGGACGUGGAGUACAGCGAGGAGGCCGUCGGCGACCUGCUGGCCACGCUCACUCGGCUGCCCCGGCCGGACACCACCGUGCUGCUCGCGGGCGAGCUCCGCAACGGACCAUAUGUGGUGGUGCCGUGGUGGAGUGCUUCUUGGAAGGGGCCAUGGGGAGUUCGAGAUCGGGUGCGUGGAGCAGGCGCAGUGGCACCCCGACAUCCGCACCAACCGCGUCGCCAUCUUCAUCCUCCUCAAGAUUCAAUAAGACACCGCCGCCGCUCCCCGUCUCACUGCCAUAGCUGCUCUGCAGAAGUAAGUUAG